rnacentral:rRNA from 1 species
AUUGAACGCUGGCGGAAUGCUUUACACAUGCAAGUCGAACGGCAGCACGGACUUCGGUCUGGUGGCGAGUGGCGAACGGGUGAGUAAUGUAUCGGAACGUGCCCAGUCGUGGGGGAUAACGUAGGGAAAAUUACGCUAAUACCGCAUACGACCUAUGGAUGAAAGCGGGGGAUCGCAAGACCUCGCGCGAUUGGAGGGGCCGAUAUCAGAUUAGGUAGUUGGUGGGGUAAAGGCCCACCAAGCCAACGAUCUGUAGCUGGUCUGAGAGGACGACCAGCCACACUGGAACUGAGACACGGUCCAGACUCCUACGGGAGGCAGCAGUGGGGAAUUUUGGACAAUGGGCGAAAGCCUGAUCCAGCCAUUCCGCGUGCGGGAUGAAGGCCCUCGGGUUGUAAACUGCUUUUGUACAGAACGAAAAGGUUUCUACUAAUACUAGGAGCUCAUGACGGUACUGUAAGAAUAAGCACCGGCUAACUACGUGCCAGCAGCCGCCGUAA